rnacentral:rRNA from 1 species
GCGAACGCUGGCGGCAGGCCUAACACAUGCAAGUCGCACGGAUCCUUCGGGAUUAGUGGCGGACGGGUGAGUCACACGUGGGAACGUGCCCUUUGGUUCGGAACAACUCAGGGAAACUUGAGCUAAUACCGGAUGUGCCCUUCGGGGGAAAGAUUUAUCGCCAUUGGAGCGGCCCGCGUCUGAUUAGCUAGUUGGUGAGGUAACGGCCCACCAAGGCGACGAUCAGUAGCUGGUCUGAGAGGAUGAUCAGCCACACUGGGACUGAGACACGGCCCAGACUCCUACGGGAGGCAGCAGCGGGGAAUCUUGCGCAAUGGGCGAAAGCCUGACGCAGCCAUGCCGCGUGAAUGAUGAAGGUCUUAGGAUUGUAAAAUUCUUUCAGCGGGGACGAUAAUGACGGUACCCGCAGAAGAAGCUCCGGCUAACUUCGUG